GGCCCUUCCAGAGAUGCUGAGAGAGCGUCACUGCCUCUUAGCAACUCGCCUAGCAACUCGCCAACAUCUUCUCCCUCUGGACCAAUCCGGGAAGGAAGGGAACAUCUGGGCACCCGCCUCCCUGCUUUCUGAAGGGAGGGAGCCGAUGAUCUCGCCAGUGAACUGUGGAAGGAGACUGGGAGAGCUAGGUUGGCGGUGGCAGCCACCAGAGCCUUGCUCAGGGCAGCAAGAAGAGGGCGGUCCUGCAACCAGCUGCUCUUUGGCAUGUGCGCUUCAGGGAUUGCUAGGAAGGCUGCAAUAAACAUCAACAACAAAACAACACAACCAGUAUUUUCGGGAGAAGAUACCUCGACCUCAGAUCAUUUGGGAAGCAUCUUAACACAGAGUGCCAGACCCAGCUAAGAAAACCAGGUAGAAUAUGUA
rnacentral:lncRNA from 1 species